rnacentral:lncRNA from 1 species
GGUUGGGAUUCCGCUAAUAUGUUGAACCCCGCCACAUUCUAUAUGUAUGUGCCUGUCUCAAGUCAGUAGUCUGUAAUUCAGUGGUUGUCGUUUGUUUAUGUGUUACUUGUUUGUUUUGUACAUAAAUUAGGCCGUUAGUUUCUCGUUUGAAUUGUUUUACAUUGUCACUUCGAUUCGGGGACUUUUAUAGAUGACUAUGCAAUGUGGGCUUUG